AGAGUUUGAUCCUGGCUCAGGACGAACGCUGGCGGCAUGCCUAACACAUGCAAGUCGAACGGAGAUUACUUCGGUAAUCUUAGUGGCGAACGGGUGAGUAACGCGUAGGCAACCUGCCCUUCAGAUGGGGACAACAUCCCGAAAGGGGUGCUAAUACCGAAUGUGAUCACAACCUCGCAUGAGGAAGUGAUGAAAGAUGGCCUCUAUUUAUAAGCUAUCGCUGAAGGAUGGGCCUGCGUCUGAUUAGCUAGUUGGUAAGGUAACGGCUUACCAAGGCGAUGAUCAGUAGCCGGUCUGAGAGGAUGAACGGCCACAUUGGGACUGAGACACGGCCCAGACUCCUACGGGAGGCAGCAGUGGGGAAUCUUCCGCAAUGGGCGAAAGCCUGACGGAGCAAUGCCGCGUGAGUGAUGAAGGGAUUCGUCCCGUAAAGCUCUGUUGUCUAUGACGAAUGUGCAUGUUGUGAACAAUGACGUGUAAUGACGGUAGUAGACGAGGAAGCCACGGCUAACUACGUGCCAGCAGCCGCGGUAAUACGUAGGUGGCGAGCGUUAUCCGGAAUGAUUGGGCGUAAAGGGUGCGUAGGUGGCAGAUCAAGUCUGGAGUAAAAGGUAUGGGCUCAACCCGUACUUGCUCUGGAAACUGAUCAGCUAGAGAACAGAAGAGGACGGCGGAACUCCAUGUGUAGCGGUAAAAUGCGUAGAUAUAUGGAAGAACACCGGUGGCGAAGGCGGCCGUCUGGUCUGGAUUCUGACACUGAAGCACGAAAGCGUGGGGAGCAAAUAGGAUUAGAUACCCUAGUAGUCCACGCCGUAAACGAUGAGUACUAAGUGUUGGGGGUCAAACCUCAGUGCUGCAGUUAACGCAAUAAGUACUCCGCCUGAGUAGUACGUUCGCAAGAAUGAAACUCAAAGGAAUUGACGGGGGCCCGCACAAGCGGUGGAGCAUGUGGUUUAA
rnacentral:rRNA from 1 species